GUGGAAGGCCAAACUCUGAUAAUUGCUUAGCCAAGGAACAAAUUUAUCUUCUUGAAUGGGCAUGGAGUUUGCAUGCAAAUAACCAAAGUUUGGCACUAGUGGAUCCAAACUUAACUGAUUUUGAUGAAAAUGAAGCUCUUAAGGUCAUAGGGGUUGCUCUCUUGUGUACUCAAGGCUCACCAAUGAUGAGACCAACAAUGUCACGUGUUGUAGGCAUGCUUGCUGGAGAUAUCGAAGUGAAUGCUAUAGUAUCAAAGCCAAGCUAUUUGACUGAUUGGGAUUUUAAGGAUAUAACCUCUAGCUUUUCAAAUCAAGAUUCUACUAAAUCCAUUGAAGCUGAAAGUAGCAAAAACAACAAUAAUAAUACAGGGGUUGAUACAAUGGAUACUCCAUUAAAUCUCACUGUGUCUAGCCUCACUGAUCUUAUUG
rnacentral:misc_RNA from 1 species